rnacentral:rRNA from 1 species
AACGAACGCUGGCGGCAUGCCUAACACAUGCAAGUCGAACGAGACCUUCGGGUCUAGUGGCGCACGUGUGCGUAACGCGUGGGAACCUGCCCUUAGGUUCGGAAUAACUCCCCGAAAGGGGUGCUAAUACCGGACAAUGUCUUCGGACCAAAGAUUUAUCGCCUUUGGAUGGGCCCGCGUUGGAUUCGCUAGUUGGUAGGGUAAAAGCCUACCAAGGCGACGAUCCAUAGCUGGUCUGAGAGGAUGAUCAGCCACACUGGGACUGCGACACGGCCCAGACUCCUACGGGAGGCAGCAGUGGGGAAUAUUGGACAAUGGGCGAAAGCCUGAUCCAGCAAUGCCGCGUGAGUGAUGAAGGCCUUAGGGUUGUAAAGCUCUUUUACCCGGGAUGAUAAUGACAGUACCGGGAGAAUAAGCUCCGGCUAACUCCGUG